rnacentral:rRNA from 1 species
CAGCAGCCGCGGUAAUACGUAGGGUGCAAGCGUUAAUCGGAAUUACUGGGCGUAAAGCGUGCGCAGGCGGUUUGUUAAGACAGAUGUGAAAUCCCCGGGCUCAACCUGGGAACUGCAUUUGUGACUGGCAAGCUAGAGUCUGGCAGAGGGGGGUGGAAUUCCGCGUGUAGCAGUGAAAUGCGUAGAUAUGCGGAGGAACACCGAUGGCGAAGGCAGCCCCCUGGGCCAACACUGACGCUCAUGCACGAAAGCGUGGGGAGCAAACAGGAUUAGAUACCCGAGUAGUCCCUGUCUCUUAUAC